rnacentral:misc_RNA from 1 species
GGAAAACUGAAUUGUGUUAUUGAUUGCUAGUUACAUCUAUAUAUAUACACAGUUAUUUUAGCACAUGUCCAAUCAUAAAAGGACAACUCAGCCUAGUAGUUUUAGCAAACUCUAGCUAACUAACCAACUUGUAUAGCAAAUCUCCAGCCUCCUCUGUUCUACUCUGUUUCUAGAACUUUUCUGGAUAACUUGUAUUCUUCGCAUUGAGAGGAGUCUGUACAAAAGAGAUUGCAUUCCAACGCUUUCUCUUUCAACUCUUUCAUCCGAUGGAUUUGAAUAGAUUUAGGGAGGGUGGUCCUUGGUCCUUUCACAAUCAACUUUUGCUUUCUCAUAUGUUGCAAGCUGGUGAUGAUCCAUUACAGGUAUUUAGAUCAUGCUGAGUUCUGGGUUUAGGUGCGCGAUCUGCCCAUUGGGUUCCAUUCAGAAGCUGUAGCUACUCAGUUGGGUAAUUUCAUCAGCCAGUUUUUAGACUAUGACAUGCGAGUGGACAUGGGCUCUUGCAGAAACUUUGUGAGGAUAAGAGUUUCUGGAGAUGUUCGAAAGCCUCUGAAGCGGUGGAAAAAGUUACGUAGGUCAGGACAGGAGUGGUUCCUUGUCAAAUUCCGCUAUGAAUGCCUAACAACCUUUUGCUUUCUAUGCGGUUGUUUGGGAAAUUCUGAGCAAUUUUGUCACAUCCUUUUCUCUGGAGAUGUUUCAUCUGUCCAGCGAGGAUGGGGUUAUUGGUUGAAGACGGCGAUGCGACAACCAUCUCUUGCCGGAGACAAAUGGCUGUGAGAUAGCUUUGGUUCUUUGAUUGCUAGAUCAAUGGCGGAUAUUCAGCGUAUGGCUAUGACGGGAAAGACAAUAUUAGUUGUGGAUCCCUUGCAUAUUUUUAUUGGAAAGAAUAAGGAGUCAACCAUGCAAUUCCAAUGCAAACUUGUGUGGAUGAGGUUUCUAGAUCUAAAGUAACUUCAGAUUUGGGCCAUAACUUGGACUCUCAUAUUAGUGAAAAUGACGGACCUUUAGUUGAAGAUAAUGAAGAUAAUGUUUUGGACGUGGACGAAGGAAAGAAGCGGCAGCGUUUAUCUACCUCUGCUUUGCAGAAGUCAAGCUCUCUUGCUCAUAACAAGAUUGUUUCUUCUACUCAAUGAUUUAUUCCUAACUUUUCUUUAGCGGCGGGACCUAUGAACUAGGCUUGCCGAGAGUCAUGAAUUGUCUAAGUUGGAACUAUCGAGGGCUUGGCAACCCUAUUGGCAGGCAGUGUUAGCUUUUAAAGAGUUGUUAAAAUGUAAUAAGCCGUCUAUUGUUUUCCUUGUUGAAACAUUGGUUCAUGCUAACAAAAUAGAGGAACUUCGUGUGUUGUUUGGCUAUGAUGGUUGUUCUUGCAUUGAUGGAAUGGGUUGAGGGGAAGGGUUGGCCUUGUU